rnacentral:rRNA from 1 species
AUUGAACGCUGGCGGCAGGCCUAACACAUGCAAGUCGAGCGGAUGAAGGGAGCUUGCUCCUGGAUUCAGCGGCGGACGGGUGAGUAAUGCCUAGGAAUCUGCCUGGUAGUGGGGGAUAACGUCCGGAAACGGGCGCUAAUACCGCAUACGUCCUGAGGGAGAAAGUGGGGGAUCUUCGGACCUCACGCUAUCAGAUGAGCCUAGGUCGGAUUAGCUAGUUGGUGGGGUAAAGGCCUACCAAGGCGACGAUCCGUAACUGGUCUGAGAGGAUGAUCAGUCAAACUGGAACUGAGACACGGUCCAGACUCCUACGGGAGGCCGCAGUGGGGAAUAUUGGACAAUGGGCGAAAGCCUGAUCCAGCCAUGCCGCGUGUGUGAAGAAGGUCUUCGGAUUGUAAAGCACUUUAAGUUGGGAGGAAGGGCAGUAAGUUAAUACCUUGCUGUUUUGACGUUACCAACAGAAUAAGCACCGGCUAACUUCGUG